rnacentral:rRNA from 1 species
CUGCUGCCUCCCGUAGGAGUUUGGGCCGUGUCUCAGUCCCAAUGUGGCCGGUCACCCUCUCAGGUCGGCUACUGAUCGUUGCCUUGGUGGGCUAUUAUCUCACCAACUAGCUAAUCAGAUGCGGGCCCAUCUUUUACCGAAUUACUCCUUUCUUUCUUAGAAGAUGCCUUCCAAGAACCGUAUGCGGUAUUAGUCGUCGUUUCCAACGAUUAUUCCACAGUAAAAGGUAGGUUGCCCACACGUUACUCACCCGUCCGCCGCUAAAAUAAUA